rnacentral:tRNA from 1 species
GGGCGCUUAGCUCAGCUGGUAGAGCGCUGCCCUUACAAGGCAGAUGUCACAGGUUCAAGUCCUGUAGCGCCCA